CAUGGAGGGUGAGAAUCCCGUCCGGUUGAUCAUUUGCGUUUUACGAUACGCUUUCUAAGAGUCAAGUUGUUUGGGAUUGCAGCUUAAAAUGGGAGGUAAAUUUCUCCUAAGGCUAAAUAACGGCGAGAGACCGAUAGCGAACAAGUACCGUGAGGGAAAGAUGAAAAGAACUUUGAAAAGAGAGUUAAACAGUACGUGAAAUUGUUGAAAGGGAAACGAUUGAAGCCAGUCGUACCUUCGGGUGAUCAGCCUUUCGGGUGCGAUUAUGUGGAGUGUGAGGAGCUUAAACACCUUCAUGUUUUGCAUAUUCGUACUCUUGGGUGUACUUGCCCGUGUGGUUGGUUAACAUCAAUUUUGGUGGUCAUAAAAUGACUGGAGGAAUGUAGCUUCGAUCUCGUAUUGAAGUGUUAUAGCCUUCGGUAGAUGUGAUGAUCGAGAUUGAGGAUUGCAACGGAUACCCUUCGGGGCUACCUGUCUGAUCUCUGAUCGUUGCUUUGGUGCCGAAAGCUUGCUUACGGUUAUCAAAGUCGAUGGUCAAUAGGUUAGAACGGGUUAAAUUCGUUAAGGAUGUUGACGUAAUGG
rnacentral:rRNA from 1 species